rnacentral:tRNA from 1 species
GGAAGCGUGGCCGAGCGGUUGAAGGCACCGGUCUUGAAAACCGGCAGGGGUUUACGCCCCUCGUGGGUUCGAAUCCCACCGCUUCCGCCA